rnacentral:rRNA from 1 species
AAAAGAAUAUAUACGAUUGCAUUGCAUAUACUAACGGAUGCGAUCAUACCAGCACUAAUGCACCGGAUCCCAUCAGAACUCCGCAGUUAAGCGUACUUGGGCGAGAGUAGUACUAGGAUGGGUGACCUCCCGGGAAGUCCUCGUGUUGCAUCCCUCUUUUAUGUUUAACCUUUUUUUUUUUGGUUAAAACUUUAUGACUCAAUAACUUGUACACAGA